GCACGCGGGCGAGGAGUGGAGCUUGCGGCUUAAUUUGACUCAACGCGGGGAAACUCACUUGGUCAGGACACUGUAAGGAUUGACAGAUUGAAAGCUCUUUCUUGAUUCGGUGGAUGGUGGUGCAUGGCCGUUCUUAGUUGGUGGAGUGAUUUGUCUGGUUAAUUCCGAUAACGAACGAGACUCUAUCUUGCUAACUAGCUCGCACGAUUCUAUUCUGACUGUUGAGCUUCUUAGAAGGACAGGUGGAUUUAACCAUACGAGAUUGAGCAAUAACAGGUCUGUGAUGCCCUUAGAUGUCCAAGGCUGCACGCGUGCUACACUGAAGCUCGUCCAACAUGUGAACCCUAUCUCGGGAGGGAGUGUGGGGGACACCCUCCUGAAAACGCGGCUUUCGUUGCCCUAGGGGAAAUCNGGGGGGGUCCUGCUCAAAACUUCCCCCCCAUUUGAAAACCCGAAAGGGAAAAUUUCCCCCUAACGCUUAAAAGUUUGCCCGCACGCUUCCAACCACUCCCUCGCCCG
rnacentral:rRNA from 1 species